rnacentral:rRNA from 1 species
CGGUAAUACGGAGGGUGCGAGCGUUAAUCGGAAUUACUGGGCGUAAAGCGCGCGUAGGCGGCGUGAUCAGCCGGUUGUGAAAGCCCCGGGCUCAACCUGGGAACGGCAUCCGGAACUGUCACGCUAGAGUGCAGGAGAGGAAGGUAGAAUUCCCGGUGUAGCGGUGAAAUGCGUAGAGAUCGGGAGGAAUACCAGUGGCGAAGGCGGCCUUCUGGACUGACACUGACGCUGAGGUGCGAAAGCAUGGGUAGCAAACAGGAUUAGAUACCCUGGUAGUCCAUGCCGUAAACGAUGUCGACUAGCCGUUGGGGUCCUUGUGACCUUUGUGGCGCAGUUAACGCGAUAAGUCGACCGCCUGGGGAGUACGGCCGCAAGGUUAAAACUCAAAUGAAUUGACGGGGGCCCGCACAAGCGGUGGAGCAUGUGGUUUAAUUCGAUGCAACGCGAAGAACCUUACCUACUCUUGACAUCGUGCGAACUUUCCAGAGAUACAUUGGUGCCUUCGGGAACGCACAGACAGGUGCUGCAUGGCCGUCGUCAGCUCGUGUUGUGAAAUGUUGGGUUAAGUCCCGUAACGAGCGCAACCCCUAUCCCUAUUUGCCAGCGAUUCGGUCGGGAACUCUAGGGAGACUGCCGGUGACAAACCGGAGGAAGGUGGGGAUGACGUCAGGUCAUCAUGGCCCUUACGAGUAGGGCUACACACGUGCUACAAUGGCCGGUACAAAGGGUUGCGAAGCCGCGAGGUGGUGCUAAUCCCGAAAAGCCGGUCUCAGUCCGGAUCGGAGUCUGCAACUCGACUCCGUGAAGUCGGAAUCGCUAGUAAUCGUGAAUCAGAAUGUCACGGUGAAUACGUUCCCGGGCCUUGUACACACCGCCCGUCACACCAUGGGAGUGGACUGCACCAGAAGUGGUUAGCUUAACCUUCGGGAGAGCGAUCA